rnacentral:rRNA from 1 species
UACGGAGGGUGCAAGCGUUGUCCGGAAUCACUGGGCGUAAAGGGCGCGUAGGCGGCUCAUGAAGGCUGUGGUGAAAGUCCGGGGCUCAACCUCGGAUCGGCCGUGGCGACUCGUGGGCUGGAGCACUGUAGAGGCGGGUGGAAUUCCGGGUGUAGCGGUGGAAUGCGUAGAGAUCCGGAAGAACACCAGUGGCGAAGGCGGCUUCCUGGUCUGCAACUGACGCUGUGGCGCGAAAGCUAGGGGAGCAAACAGG